UAGAAAUAAAAAAGAAAAGAUCUGAUGCAAGCAAUCCACCGACCAUCACCGACCACACGUCUCCCCCACGCUCUCACACUCUCCGGUGUCCGCUCCGGCGGCCUCUCUCUCUCUCUCGUGCGGCUUGCCGUUGAGAUGCCCGCCGCCGUCACCAGAUCCGUCCUCCCCAUCGUGCAGUUGAGAUGUGUCGCCGCCGCCGCCAACGACGACAUCUUCCUCGCCCGCCGGAGCUCAGAUCCGUCCUGCCCCUCCGGCUGCCGUCGAUACCGACCACGACCGACGCCUCCAGUCAUCUCCUAUGUACUCCUACAUCGACGGGGUCGUGCUUCCUUCUCGGUCGCCAUGGGUGUGGAGUGCCUGACCACAGCCUGUGCGUAAAAUCCCCAAAUUUCACACGGUGACAAACUCCGUCUCCCCAUUGACGCCCGUCUCCAGCGAGGGUUCCUCCUCAACCGCUCUGUCAUGGCCCCUUCAUCUCCGCGGGUGAGACCUCUCGCUCCUUCCCUUCAUCUCCCCUCCCGAGAUCCCAACACUAUCAACUAUUAAACCUCCGUUUGAUUUUUUGUUAACGCUGGCCGGCAAACAUAGUGAUUCACCUCUUGUUGUUUCUCAAAUAGGCUAGUCAUCAAGAAUAAGUGUAGUUUGGUUUGGAUGUUAUCAUAUAACCCGCUGCUAAAUCUUUCGUCACCACAAUCAGUUUACAUUAGGUUCUCUGGACGGAUCUGGUUAUCUAUAUCUAUACUUACUGAAUGUGUCCGUGUGUUAAUAUUUGCUUAGGUAUUUUAUUACAUGACCAAAAAAAUCGUAUCACAGUGUCUUGCUUCAUCCGCCGGCCCUGGGAUGUGAUCAUCUAGAACUCAAACAAUUUAGAUGUAGUCCUAUGCCAUAAUGUCCACAUGAGCAGCGAUGCCAAACGUACUGCCUGCUGGUUAUCCACAUCUGGUUUGUGUCUUUGUCUUUUUCAAAUUAGUUACGCCUGAAAACAUGAAAAGUGUUUGGGGCUUAAUCCCAGCACGGCAUUUAUCGUCUUGCUGUGACUACCCUCCUCCCUUAAUACUUGAAUAUGGCGAUGUAACUAGCGUCUGUUUUACAGAAGUAUUUUUACAUCGUGCAUGAGUUUCUGUUACAUCAGCGAUACUAGUACAGUUAUGUCAGGUCAUGACAAGUAUCCCAACUGGAUGUAAUCUUUUUUUUUUGUACAUCCAGUAUGAUAGAAACAUGUAACACUCAUACGUAAUUUUUUUAACCAUCCUGGAUGUAAACAUUUUGAUCUGAAAGUAGCUUCUACAUCUUCAUUUUUUACAUCCUUAACGAUUGAAUGAUAUAACACCAGUUUAAUCUGAGUUGUAACUUUUACUAAAUGAAGCGAAAGCAACACCAUCCAAUUACUAAUGCAGCAGAGGGUAAUUCUGGCCCAUACCCUGCAUAAUAAACAAAAAUACAAUUUUAAAAUGGAGACACUAAUGCGUCCACAAAUAUGCAAGAAACUAAUCAGGGAUUGCUGUAACAUCAUCCAGUUACCAACUCUUAAAUCCUACAUGUUGCAGCAUGAGCGUAUUUUCCUCUCAUUUCGUUUCUCUAACUUUUCUGUAAAUGUCUUCUUUUUGUAGAAUCCUACAUGUUGCAGCAUGAGCAUAUUUUUCUCUCAUGAACCUUGUCUGCCUCAUGCAUCCAAACAUUGCAAAAUCAAACAAACUAAAUUGCAAAAUCAAACAAACUAAAUUGCAAAAUCAACAUUCUUACAGCAUCCGGACUUGGCAUUGCAGUCAGGUUCCAGAAAAGGUAACAAAAACAAAACAACCCAUUGGCAAGAUUUGCCAUUUCUAGUCACCUACGCUAUAUCUCACGGGCCCACGCAUGGACCAUUCCAUACCUAUUUCCAGUAAGUAUUUCAUUUGUCGUCUCAUCAUAGAACAUGGCAGUUACCCCUGACAGGGCCUCUGCAACUGUGUGUGUUACUGGAGGCUCCUCAGUUUGAGCAGUAAGCCCAGUAUGGUUGGCACUGAUUUCAGCUAGCCGUUUCCCGUUGCAAAUAUUAGUUACAUUGAUCAGUGCACCUUCAAAGCCUGCAAUAACAAUGUCAUUAUCAUAAGUUCAGAACUACCCGAUAUUGGGUUAACCAGGGUUAGUUUAGUUAAAAGAAUAUUACCUCGAGCCGGUGCAAAGUAAGACAUCAGGAUCUUGGCACUGUCAUUGAUCGCAAAUUGUUUCAGCUGUAAGGGCGGAGGGUAUUGCACCUCUGUUAAAAGCUCAGCGUUGCAAUUGAAAAUCGAAACUUCAGCUGCCGAUCCAAUAAUUAUUAGAUUAUCGCCUAGAAAUUUGACACCACAGGUUGAAGCUUUUAAUAUUUGCUUGUUCUUAUUAUCCUUGCAUAACUGAACCAGGAAAAGCUGCAGUUUAGUAUCGUACUUCAAUGAUAUAUUGAUAAUAAUAGAACCUAGUUAAUGUAUUGGGGCGUAUGAUACCUACUUUUUUUAUCACGAGUGGCUUCUUGGCCUGGCUGAGAACUAGUGUAUCUCGCAUUAGGUUAAUGUAAUCGACAUUGAUUGUGUCCUUGAUCUGAAUCUUGUAACUUUUAGUUGCAGAUCCUUCCUGUAUUGAGAAUACUUGUAUGGGAAUGUGACCGAACUGAUCCCUUCUGUACUCAAGGAUCAGCAUAUUGUGAACUGCAAGGUACCUGUUGUUGUUCUGUGAUGAAAUCACUGCUGCCUUCUCAAUAUCUUGGAACAUCUCCACAUCUUUAGCAUCUUUAAUCUCUACUUCGUGGAAUACCCUUCGACGCCGGUAACUUGCUCUAGAGGUUGUAAUAUGGUGGCUCACAUUCUAGCAACAUAUGGGGUAAAUCUAAAAUCUAGCAAUGGCGUCCACAAAACCCUCUGUCACAGAUCUGGUGCUGCUGGUUUGAAAGGUUGAAAGGAAAUUAUCAUCUACUCUAGCGAUGGCGUCCUAUGGUGCUAAACUGAGGCUGGUGGACUCAAUGCUGAUCUCGUUUGCAGUUUAUGCCAUGUGCUCUAUUAGAAUCCCUCCCAAGAUCUUGGCAUACCUCUCGACAAACUACGCCACCUAUGCCUCUGGAGAAGAAAAACUGAUCAAGGAGAAACUUCAAACUCGCUGGCUGCAUGGACGAUGGUGUGCAAACCAAAACAGAAAGGGGGGCUGGGGGUCCUCGACACCAAGAUCUUAAACACUGCACUUCUCCUGAAGUUCCUAGACAAAUUCUACAAUCACCAUGAUGUGCCAUGGGUCGAGUUGAUUUGGUCCACGUACUCCACUAGUUCUGUAACGCACGCGGCGGGCCCGUGUGGAUCAUUUUGGUGGAGAGGGUUAAUACCCUUAUGCCAAUUUAACGCGGGAUCACCUCUGUUUCUACUCUCUUCUGGAAGAAUCAGUGGUGCGGGCAGAUACUCUCGGAUGCCUACCCGAGAGCUUUCUCUUAUGCUGUUUAUGAAGAUGCCACUGUCAAGCAAUUUCUCACGAUGCACUUUGCUUGGUGAAGGCUUACAUCUACCAAUGUCAGUUCAGGUGCGCCAGGAGGUGGCCCAACUACAGACUGAGACUGCCGAAACUGGCAUCAAUACUAUGGCUACUGAUGACUGGGGCCCUAGGUACAUGUCUGCUUGAUACACAUUCUUCUUCAGACAGUUCAGGAACCCUUCAAAUGGAUUUGGAGGUCCAGAUGCGUUAUGAAGCUGAAAGUGUUGGCUUGGUUGCUACUGUCAGAUGGCCUAAAGACCAAAGAUAUGUUAGGUUGCGGGCACUACAUGGUGGGACCGGGCUCGCAGCGAUCUGACUGCUGCGCCCUUUGCCUUACCCAAUCCAAUGAAACUGUAGAGUACUUGAUCUUCUCGUGCACCUUUGCAGGGAGUGUUGGAGCAAACUUGGAAUAACUUGGGGAGCGGGAAAUGACAGAUUUGAAUGGUUGAGACAUGCCAAGAGGUAGAAGUCUUUGUGGGGGUGCCUGGUGCAGGAGGUUUAAACAAGACUUUGAUCUGCUCAAGUACAGAUCAUGUGCUGAGCUUGAAGGCUACACCACCACCUUGUUGCAAAACUUAGCCUAGUGCUUGCCUUUUUUGCCUGUUUUCAGAGUCCUUCCUUUUCUUCUUUUAUUUAUUGCUUUGGGCAGCCCCCAUGCAUGGGGGUGCCCCCCGUGUGUAUUUUGUAAAUCAUGUAACUCCUACACAUUUACUGUGUUUGCUUAAUACAAUGAGACUGUAGGAAACUCUCCUACAGUCAUUGAAAGUUCAAAAAAGAAAAAAAAUCUGAAAUCUA